GCUGGACUGUGAUGGGUCAGGCACCACGGCUGAUACAUUUGGUACAUCCUCCAAAUGAUACACGUGUGCAGUGCUUUCUGUUUCCUUUCAUGUUUGCUCCUGGAUGAGAAACCUAUGUCUACUUUGGGGUUCUGAGUAUGAGCAAAUGAACAUCAACAAAACUUCUUAAGGGCAGAACCAACCUGUUGUAAGAGACACAGGAUGCAAAUCUUCCACUGAAAAGAGAUCUAAAUGCGGGAGCAUUGGGAGACUUGAGUGUUGUUUUUACCAGGAAACCAAACUGGAGGAAGAUGAUGGAUAACUGUGAGCAGAAGACCUCGUAUUUAGAUGACUGUUUAUGAUUUACAUUUUAUUCAAAUUCUUAGGAGUUCUUGGAAAUAAACACAGAAAGCUUUGGGAAACCACCAGCUAAAUACCAAUGCCGAUGGAGGACACUUAUCCUACUCUGCUUUGUAUCUGGAUUAUUUGUGGCCAUUUCCAACUCAUUAGGUUCCAAGACCGUUGAGAGUUGUGUCUAAGUUAUGUUAUGUUCUUAGCCCCCAUGGUGCUUCAUAUAAUAUAUAAUAAUCAUUGUGCCUAAACAGACUUUCAUUUAAAGACAAAAGUUUUUUCCCCUAUGUUGGAAAAAAUGAAGAUCUUAUCAGCAGAGGACUCUAGAAGAAGCACACGGUGAAGAUUCAGUGAAUCACAAGAGCAGCAGGAGGAAACAAGAGUCAAAGAGCAACAGUUCAUCAAAGGGCUCAUUUCCUCUCCAUGCAUCGCUUGCCGACAACUCCACAGAACCCAUAACCAUUUCUCCUUCAUUGGUGAACAUAUGUUUUGCUUGUGACCACGUCAAGUAUGCACGGGUUCACAAAUCUACAUGUAUAACAGACUAAUAAACGCUGCUAAUUAUAUUCCCUCCCCAAAAGGCUGCUAACCAUGCAAAUGAGAAGUGCUAAUCCUGUGCAGCAGAACUUGAAAUGACAGCCAAACAGCCCAACCACGCAGCUUGUGAAGGAUGCAGCAUAUGUACUUCUGAAGGAUGGGAGAACUGACAUUUGCAGCAUCCAUAAUUCACCGUUUAGAUUAGAGGGCAGUGGGUAAAUGAGAAAUUACUUUAUGGGAUGUGUCGCAUUUCCCAGGUAGGAAGGGAUUCAUACUGGUGACUAAAGUUGUCUGCUGAAUGACCAAAACAGACUAUCAUAAAAGGUGCCAACACAUUAUUUCAUGGAACCAAAUUUUAUGCAAAGCAUGCCUGAUAAUCAAAGGUGAAACAGAUGCUCACGGCAUUCUGGACAGAGCACCUCCGUUUUAGGCGGAUCUGCUGUGUCACACAGGAAGGCCCUGCAACGCCCCACACCCCCCCCCCCCCCAACGGCCUCACCAGUAAGGGAUUUUGCCCAACGUCAGGAGGCAUGACACUGGUAGAUGCUUUGCAGACACGAACCCAUUCUUGCUACAUAAAUGGCAGGCUUGGCAGGAGCCUUCAGAGCUGGGAAGCGCAGGAGCUCACCUUUUCUUCAAUAGCACAUUUUUCUUUGAGCCAGUGAUUCAGGACUUCAUCUUUGAAUGCACCUGUGUUGCCCACUGUGCUUUGCUGAAUUUUGGCAAUUGUUGUGGCAUCUUUCACGAUCUCAAUCAUCCCUGUGGGAGGGUGUGCAGAAUCUGGUGUAAAUUGGGGCCUGAUGCCUGACCCAGAGGACGAAUGGUUGUGUGUCUUUGUUGACUGGAGGGCAGAGGGCUUUUCAACCAGGGGGGGUAUUUUUUUUUUCUUUUAAAGAUUGUAUUUAUUUACUCAUGAGAGACACAGAAAAAGAGAGGCAGAGACACAGGCAGAGGGAGAAGCAGGUUCCCUGCAGGGAGCCCGAUGCGGGACUGAUCCCAGGACCCCAGGGUCAUGCCCUGAGCUGAAGGCAGAUGCUCAACCACCGAGCCACCCAGGCUCAACCCUCAACCAGGGGGCUGUUUUCCAGGUUUGUGCAGUUGGUUUUCUCAGGAGAGACAGAAAGAAAAGGAGAAUGAGGUGGAACUUUUGUGGGACAUGCUUUCAGUGUCCCUGAGUGAAAAGAGGAAAGGUCGGGUUUGAAAGGUAAUAAGGAAAAGCAUUUAUGCAUAUGUGCUGGGCAAACUGCCUUUUUCUUUUUUAAUCACAGGGUCAAAUGGGAGUGGUUUUAUAUAGUUCUCGGUUCGGAAGCUUGAAUAAAAAUAUGUUUCGCUGAAACAAAACUGUUAAAUGUCUAUAAAAGUAUCUAAGAGUAGAGUAGGUGCUGCACCUGGGUGGCGCAGUUAAGUGUCUGCCUUUGGCUCAGGUCAUGAUCCCCGGGUCCUGGGAUGGAGCCCUGCAUCACACUCCUGGCUCAGCGGGGAGUUGGCUUCUCCCUCUCCCUCCGCCCUUCCCCAGCUCGUGCUCUCUCUCAUUCUCGGUCACACUCUCUCUGUCAAAUAAAUAAAAUCUUUAAAACUUGUUUAAAAAAAGUAGAGUAGGUAAUAGCUUCAAUAAUGUGAAUUCUAAGAUAUUAAAAUAAGUGACAGAUCUUACCAUCUAUUUUUAAAUGUUAUUUGUGAGAGAGAAGUUUAAUGUGCAGUGAAACAAGUUACAGCUUAGACGUGGAGAAGUAAAGGGGAGGGGAUGAGUUCUUACUAAAAUCAUUGCCAUGUAUAGUCACAGGAUUGGAAUCACACAUUAGUGUAUUUUCGACAGAUCCACAUUAAAUCCAGAGUCACAUGCACCAGUCUUGGAACAUUUCCUUCCUUUUUAUUUGGGUAUGUUUGUAAUUUUUCUGUUAUUAAAUGCCUACACUGGGGGACUCAUGAUCCUUUAAAGCGAGCUGAGGGGGAUAUUCAUCUCCUGAGGGAACCACAUACCUAUUUUGUCUCCAGUUGAAAUGCAACCAUAUGGCAGGAGGUACAGAUCCAAAGAUUCUGUCUCCCAAAUGGAUUCCAUGAUUCGUAGAAUCUAGACAUCAGACACAAAGGCGUUUCCACGAUAAAUAUAUAUUUGUUUAACGUAUUUUUUCUUCUCCCUUAAAAAACAACCUGACAGUCUUAUCUGGUAACACAAAAUAUGUAAGUUAAAGCAAACUUUCUAAGCAACACCUGUACUUUAUCAGUGUGGUGCCCUAAAGUUCCCCUUCUUUGGGAGCCUCUUAAUUUUGGUCUCUGAGAUGUGCUCUGGGGAAGAGGAUCAAUGGAUUUAGUGUGGGGAGAGGCUGUAGUCAUGUUUCAGCUACUUAGAUGUUCCAUUCCAAUUAUGCACAUUUGACCACCACACAAAAAAAAUGUUCUGCUCUAACAUUCUCACAGGUUUUUAUCCAUAAGACAUUCUUGGGCUAAACCAAGGCAACACUAACACAGAAGAGAAUGCUAGCUAAUUUACUGAGUGCUGUCUUAUGUCAAUCCUUUGUGUUUACCCUAUAACCUGAGUAUGAUUAUUCCCAUUUUGCAUGUGGUUAGACUAAGGCUUCAUGAGCUUAUGUAACUUGCCCUCACCUGCCAAGCAGCAUGUGUCAGCCUCGAAACAAGUAAGUACAUAAAAGGCGAGUGCAAACUUCCCCUCAAAAUGAGAGGAACGACACAGUGAUGCUUUGCGUUUUUGAAGCUCUUGUCUUCGAAUAAUUCAAAGGAUUCUAUAGGUUUAUUGGAAAUGCAACAAACCUUUAAAAGGUUUGAAGGAUUUCUUUUUCUUUCUUUUUAAUACUUCUGGGACAAUAUGCAUAGUAUUCUUGAAGAGAGAGCAAAAGGUAUUAUUUCCAUAUCAGAAAUAAGUACAAACAGGGCAGCCCGGGUGGCUUAGCGGUUUAGCGCCGCCUUCGACACAGGGCAUGAUCCUGGAGACCCGGGAUCGAUUCCCGC